rnacentral:rRNA from 1 species
GACGAACGCUGGCAGCGUGCCUAAUACAUGCAAGUCGAGCGGACAGAAGGGAGCUUGCUCCCGGAAGUUAGCGGCGGACGGGUGAGUAACACGUGGGCAACCUACCCUGUAGAUCGGGAUAACAUCGAGAAAUCGGUGCUAAUACCGGAUAAUCAUUUGAAGCGCAUGCUUCGAAUGUAAAAGAUGGCUCCGGCUAUCACUACGGGAUGGGCCCGCGGCGCAUUAGCUAGUUGGUAAGGUAAUGGCUUACCAAGGCAACGAUGCGUAGCCGACCUGAGAGGGUGAUCGGCCACACUGGGACUGAGACACGGCCCAGACUCCUACGGGAGGCAGCAGUAGGGAAUCUUCCGCAAUGGAUGAAAGUCUGACGGAGCAACGCCGCGUGAGUGAUGAAGGUUUUCGGAUCGUAAAGCUCUGUUGUUAGGGAAGAACAAGUGCCGUUUGAAUAAGGCGGCACCUUGACGGUACCUAACCAGAAAGCCACGGCUAACUACGUGCCAGCAGCCGCAGUAAAAC